UGGGGAAUAUUGCACAAUGGGCGCAAGCCUGACGCAGCCAUGCCGCGUGUGUGAAGAAGGCCUUCGGGUUGUAAAGCACUUUCAGCGAGGAGGAAGGUGGUGAACUUAAUACGUUCAUCAAUUGACGUUACUCGCAGAAGAAGCACCGGCUAACUCCGUGCCAGCAGCCGCGGUAAUACGGAGGGUGCAAGCGUUAAUCGGAAUUACUGGGCGUAAAGCGCACGCAGGCGGUUUGUUAAGUCAGAUGUGAAAUCCCCGGGCUCAACCUGGGAACUGCAUUUGAAACUGGCAAGCUAGAGUCUCGUAGAGGGGGGUAGAAUUCCAGGUGUAGCGGUGAAAUGCGUAGAGAUCUGGAGGAAUACCGGUGGCGAAGGCGGCCCCCUGGACGAAGACUGACGCUCAGGUGCGAAAGCGUGGGGCAGCAAACAGGAUUAGAUACCCUGGUAGUCCACGCUGUAAACGAUGUCGAUUUGGAGGUUGUGCCCUUGAGGCGUGGCUUCCGGAGCUAACGCGUUAAAUCGACCGCCUGGGGAGUACGGCCGCAAGGUUAAAACUCAAAUGAAUUG
rnacentral:rRNA from 1 species